AGUGAACGCUGGCGGUAGGCCUAACACAUGCAAGUCGAACGGCAGCACAGUAAGAGCUUGCUCUUACGGGUGGCGAGUGGCGACGGGUGAGGAAUACAUCGGAAUCUACUUUUUCGUGGGGGAUAACGUAGGGAAACUUACGCUAAUACCGCAUACGACCUACGGGUGAAAGCAGGGGAUCUUCGGACCUUGCGCGAUUGAAUUAGCCGAUGUCGGAUUAGCUAGUUGGCGGGGUAAAGGCCCACCAAGGCGACGAUCCGUAGCUGGUCUGAGAGGAUGAUCAGCCACACUGGAACUGAGACACGGUCCAGACUCCUACGGGAGGCAGCAGUGGGGAAUAUUGGACAAUGGGCGCAAGCCUGAUCCAGCCAUACCGCGUGGGUGAAGAAGGCCUUCGGGUUGUAAAGCCCUUUUGUUGGGAAAGAAAAGCAGCAGGUUAAUACCCCGCUGUUCUGACGGUACCCAAAGAAUAAGCACCGGCUAACUUCGUG
rnacentral:rRNA from 1 species